rnacentral:rRNA from 1 species
GUCGAGCGGAACGAUCCUAGCUUGCUAGGAGGCGUCGAGCGGCGGACGGGUGAGUAAUGCAUAGGAAUCUGCCCGGUAGUGGGGGAUAACCUGGGGAAACCCAGGCUAAUACCGCAUACGCCCUACGGGGGAAAGCAGGGGAUCUUCGGACCUUGCGCUAUCGGAUGAGCCUAUGUCGGAUUAGCUAGUUGGUGAGGUAACGGCUCACCAAGGCUGCGAUCCGUAGCUGGUCUGAGAGGAUGAUCAGCCACAUCGGGACUGAGACACGGCCCGAACUCCUACGGGAGGCAGCAGUGGGGAAUAUUGGACAAUGGGCGAAAGCCUGAUCCAGCCAUGCCGCGUGUGUGAAGAAGGCCUUCGGGUUGUAAAGCACUUUCAGUGAGGAAGAAAGCCUUGAGGUUAAUACCCUCGAGGGAGGACAUCACUCACAGAAGAAGCACCGGCUAACUCCGUGCCAGCAGCCGCGGUAAUACGGAGGGUGCGAGCGUUAAUCGGAAUUACUGGGCGUAAAGCGCGCGUAGGCGGCUUGAUAAGCCGGUUGUGAAAGCCCCGGGCUCAACCUGGGAACGGCAUCCGGAACUGUCAGGCUAGAGUGCAGGAGAGGAAGGUAGAAUUCCCGGUGUAGCGGUGAAAUGCGUAGAGAUCGGGAGGAAUACCAGUGGCGAAGGCGGCCUUCUGGACUGACACUGACGCUGAGGUGCGAAAGCGUGGGUAGCAAACAGGAUUAGAUACCCUGGUAGUCCACGCCGUAUACGAUGUCGACUAGCCGUUGGGCUCCUUGAGAGCUUUGUGGCGCAGUUAACGCGAUAAGUCGACCGCCUGGGGAGUACGGCCGCAAGGUUAAAACUCAUAUGAAUUGACGGGGGCCCGCACAAGCGGUGGAGCAUGUGGUUUAAUUCGAUGCAACGCGUAGAACCUUACCUACCCUUG